rnacentral:rRNA from 1 species
AUUCCAGCUCCAAUAGCGUAUAUUUAAGUUGUUGCAGUUAAAAAGCUCGUAGUUGGAUUUUGGUUAAGAGGGCGCGGUCGGCCGUUUGGUCUGUACUGCGUUGUCUUGACUUCCUGAUGAGGACAUGCUCUUGGUUAACGCUGAGACAUGGAGUCAUCGUGGUUACUUUGAAAAAAUUAGAGUGUUCAAAGCGGGCUUACGCUUGAAUAUAUUAGCAUGGAAUAACACUAUAGGACUCCUGUCCUAUCUCGUUGGUCUCGGGAUGGGAGUAAUGAUUAACAGGGACAGUCAGGGGCACUCGUAUUCCGCCGAAAGAGGUGAAAUUCUCAGACCAGCGGAAGACGAACCACUGCGAAAGCAUUUGCCAGGGAUGUUUUCAUCA